UAUGAGAGUUUGAUCCUGGCUCAGGACGAACGCUGGCGGCGUGCCUAAUACAUGCAAGUCGUACGCUUCUUUUUCCACCGGAGCUUGCUCCACCGGAAAAAGAAGAGUGGCGAACGGGUGAGUAACACGUGGGUAACCUGCCCAUCAGAAGGGGAUAACACUUGGAAACAGGUGCUAAUACCGUAUAACAAUCGAAACCGCAUGGUUUUGAUUUGAAAGGCGCUUUCGGGUGUCGCUGAUGGAUGGACCCGCGGUGCAUUAGCUAGUUGGUGAGGUAACGGCUCACCAAGGCCACGAUGCAUAGCCGACCUGAGAGGGUGAUCGGCCACAUUGGGACUGAGACACGGCCCAAACUCCUACGGGAGGCAGCAGUAGGGAAUCUUCGGCAAUGGACGAAAGUCUGACCGAGCAACGCCGCGUGAGUGAAGAAGGUUUUCGGAUCGUAAAACUCUGUUGUUAGAGAAGAANAAGGAUGAGAGUAACUGUUCAUCCCUUGACGGUAUCUAACCAGAAAGCCACGGCUAACUACGUGCCAGCAGCCGCGGUAAUACGUAGGUGGCAAGCGUUGUCCGGAUUUAUUGGGCGUAAAGCGAGCGCAGGCGGUUUCUUAAGUCUGAUGUGAAAGCCCCCGGCUCAACCGGGGAGGGUCAUUGGAAACUGGGAGACUUGAGUGCAGAAGAGGAGAGUGGAAUUCCAUGUGUAGCGGUGAAAUGCGUAGAUAUAUGGAGGAACACCAGUGGCGAAGGCGGCUCUCUGGUCUGUAACUGACGCUGAGGCUCGAAAGCGUGGGGAGCAAACAGGAUUAGAUACCCUGGUAGUCCACGCCGUAAACGAUGAGUGCUAAGUGUUGGAGGGUUUCCGCCCUUCAGUGCUGCAGCUAACGCAUUAAGCACUCCGCCUGGGGAGUACGACCGCAAGGUUGAAACUCAAAGGAAUUGACGGGGGCCCGCACAAGCGGUGGAGCAUGUGGUUUAAUUCGAAGCAACGCGAAGAACCUUACCAGGUCUUGACAUCCUUUGACCACUCUAGAGAUAGAGCUUCCCCUUCGGGGGCAAAGUGACAGGUGGUGCAUGGUUGUCGUCAGCUCGUGUCGUGAGAUGUUGGGUUAAGUCCCGCAACGAGCGCAACCCUUAUUGUUAGUUGCCAUCAUUUAGUUGGGCACUCUAGCAAGACUGCCGGUGACAAACCGGAGGAAGGUGGGGAUGACGUCAAAUCAUCAUGCCCCUUAUGACCUGGGCUACACACGUGCUACAAUGGGAAGUACAACGAGUCGCGAAGUCGCGAGGCUAAGCUAAUCUCUUAAAGCUUCUCUCAGUUCGGAUUGUAGGCUGCAACUCGCCUACAUGAAGCCGGAAUCGCUAGUAAUCGCGGAUCAGCACGCCGCGGUGAAUACGUUCCCGGGCCUUGUACACACCGCCCGUCACACCACGAGAGUUUGUAACACCCGAAGUCGGUGAGGUAACCUUUUGGAGCCAGCCGCCUAAGGUGGGAUAGAUGAUUGGGGUGAAGUCGUAACAAGGUAGCCGUAUCGGAAGGUGCGGCUGGAUCACCUCCUUUCUAAGGAA
rnacentral:rRNA from 1 species